UUGAGAGCUUUACAAGUAGGUCAGCUGCAGCAUUGCUUCAUAUCUCUUUCAGUAUUAUUACCGUCCUGCAGCCCAACUUUUAAUCCAGCUUGAGCUGCACCAAUUGCACGUUCACGGACACUUUUAUUGUAGUCGGAACUGCUUACAGAACCAAAACUGAGCUUCGGCAAAUACCUGAAAGACUUUCAGAAGGGAACGAUGGCCAACAGUGCUCUGUGGGCUUGUGCUGCAUUCCCAGGCUGUGUGUUGCUGACGGCGUUCUGAUGCUGCUGUGUUCUUCUCCAGGAGGAUUUGACACUUUCUGAAUUAUAAGUUGUCGGUCACGAGGAGGUUUGUUUGCAUCUGAAUACUCUCAUGUUCAGAACGAGCAAUAAGAUGGUGAGUAUUAUUUCCUUUAUUCAGAUAACGGCACAAAAGGCCAAAUCAGACGUCCUUGGAUGUGCCCCUUCACACAAAAAAUAUCAACUAUUGUGAGUGUUUCAAUUGCAGGAACAUGAUGUAUUGUUUUCUUUGUAGCAAUAAGCUUAGUAAUUGUAAUGAGUAUGUAUUAAUUCUCCAAUGAACGUCAAAUAUUUAGAUUUACCCCUUAAUUAAAAUGUGUACUUGAAUGCUUAUCUCCUCUGCUAUAUUACCUCUACUGUGAACAAUUAGGAUUUUCUUUUUUAAAGACACUCACUUCCAUAAGCUAAUUGUUUUCUCUUUUUUACAGGGAGACUUUAUCAGAACUGGCCACUAAUUAACAGAAAUCACAGUAACUAUUGCAUAGAGGGAUCUUGUUAAAUCGAAAAGCGGAGUGAUCAGGGUGGCAAAGUGCUAAUUAAGCUCUGAAUUGGGGGGCUGCAUCAACAGAGCACAGGGAUGAUCCUUCGCUGUCUGUUUACAUCGCUGCAGUGCAUUCUGGGAGGUCACCCCACAUCCUGGGGCAGGCGUACUGUUCUGCUGCUCUGGAAAAUAACAAUGUGUAAGACAGAUAAAACCAGCACAUCUAAAUGUAUUUAUACUAAUGUCGUCAACGUUUAAAGCAGGAAACUUUAUUUUCAAGAACUUAGGCAUUUCCACACAAUAUGAGGAUGCGGAGUCAUUUGUUGCUGCAGCAGAAGCACAGAUGGAAACCCUUUCCAUCAUGUAACAGUAUCUGUUACAUGAUGGAAAGGGCUUCUCAUUGGUAAGAGAAAGUUCUUUAUUGUCUCAUCUGUUUCUUCUAAACAGAAAUAUGGCAAUUGAGUUUGAUUGUUCUCCUCCUCUAGAGUUUCAAAAGAGAUCGCAAAAACUGUGGUCAGAUUUGACAAGAUAUAAAAGUUGAAAAAAACUCAAUAAACCCUUAGUAAUGUAUCCUUUUGGAAUUUCUUGUGAGAAAAAAAAGACCUCGGAAGAGCUUCUGAAAAGAUCUCAGAAAUGUGUAAUUUUCCAAAGUCUGCGAUUAUAUAUCAGUGAUCUCUGAAUGAAUUAAUAGCAACAGAUUAAAAUUGUUGUUAUUUUUCUCUAUAGAAAACGACUUGCGUCAUCUUGCAUGUCGCUCCACUAGAGUUUCAUAAGAGAUCUGAGCUAUCCACGUUCAUUUUAUAGCUCUGUACUCUUACUGUAUGCCAGCAAUCGUUUCAUUUGUGUCCAGGAAUUAUAAGAAAUACAUCUACAGUAAGUCAAAGCUGACACUUAAAUGAAGGAAAAUGGAGGGAAGCAUCAGCCAAAUUCAGUCGAGACUACAGACAUUUCUUACCACAGGGUAUUAAAUGACAAAGUCCAAAUCGAAACUGAAAAAUGAGGUAUUGCUGUAAAACAACUUUGCAACUCUGUCACUGUAAGUCAGAUAUUUUACAUUUGUCUCAUGCUUGUUGACCACAAUUUCCCUCAUUUCUAAGUGUCUCCUGUGAAGAAAACGUGGCCACCGUCAUAUACGGUUAAGAUGCCUUCCUCUGGGCUUUAGGAAAUCAGACAGACAACAUGGCUGCCUCUGAUUAAGAGUGUAAGAAAUCCUGUUACACACUUGCAGCUGAACGCCUGAGAAUAUCACCACUCUCAUUAUUGGGCUGGGAUUUGGAGAAGGGCUUGUAGCGUUCCUCAUUGGGAAAAUGUCUACAAACAUCUUUUCAUCCUUUUUUUCUCUAUAUUUUACUCCCUCAGUCCAUUUAGUUUCAUCAGUCUUGUAAAACAAUGAUGUUUCUUUUCUGCAUGCCGUCGUAUGGUCAAGGUGACUCUUUGCUAAUGCGUGUAAUAAAAGAAUCAUGUCACGAGAAAUGCUUACAGCUGUCUGUAGCGCUCUGC